UGGGAAUAUUGCACAAUGGGGGAAACCCUGAUGCAGCGACGCCGCGUGAGCGAUGAAGUAUUUCGGUAUGUAAAGCUCUAUCAGCAGGGAAGAAAAUGACGGUACCUGACUAAGAAGCCCCGGCUAACUACGUGCCAGCAGCCGCGGUAAUACGUAGGGGGCAAGCGUUAUCCGGAUUUACUGGGUGUAAAGGGAGCGUAGACGGCAUGGCAAGCCAGAUGUGAAGGCCCGGGGCUCAACCCCGGGACUGCAUUUGGAACUGUCAGGCUAGAGUGUCGGAGAGGAAAGCGGAAUUCCUAGUGUAGCGGUGAAAUGCGUAGAUAUUAGGAGGAACACCAGUGGCCGAAGGCGGCUUUCUGGACGAUGACUGAC
rnacentral:rRNA from 1 species